GUGGGGAAUUUUGGACAAUGGGCGAAAGCCUGAUCCAGCCAUGCCGCGUGCAGGAUGACGGCCUUCGGGUUGUAAACUGCUUUUGUACGGAACGAAAAGACUCUGGUUAAUACCUGGGGUCCAUGACGGUACCGUAAGAAUAAGCACCGGCUAACUACGUGCCAGCAGCCGCGGUAAUACGUAGGGUGCAAGCGUUAAUCGGAAUUACUGGGCGUAAAGCGUGCGCAGGCGGUUAUAUAAGACAGAUGUGAAAUCCCCGGGCUCAACCUGGGAACUGCAUUUGUGACUGUAUAGCUAGAGUACGGCAGAGGGGGAUGGAAUUCCGCGUGUAGCAGUGAAAUGCGUAGAUAUGCGGAGGAACACCGAUGGCGAAGGCAAUCCCCUGGGCCUGUACUGACGCUCAUGCACGAAAGCGUGGGGAGCAAACAGGAUUAGAAACCCCUGUAGUCC
rnacentral:rRNA from 1 species